rnacentral:rRNA from 1 species
GACGGAGGAUGCAAGUGUUAUCCGGAAUCACUGGGCGUAAAGCGUCUGUAGGUGGUUUAAUAAGUCAACUGUUAAAUCUUGAGGCUCAACCUCAAAAAUCGCAGUCGAAACUAUUAGGCUAGAGUAUAGUAGGGGUAAAGGGAAUUUCCAGUGGAGCGGUGAAAUGCGUAGAGAUUGGAAAAGAACACCGAUGGCGAAGGCACUUUACUGGGCUAUUACUAACACUCAGAGACGAAAGCUAGGGUAGCAAAUGGG